CUUACAGAAACCAACAUAGCCUGUGCAUGAAAUGUUUCAUUAGCUGUGGGUACACUGUUUUUCAGAAACGAAAGAGAAGUCAAGAUCCCCUCCACAUGUCUCUUGAUCUUUGCCAGACUUGAAGAACGUGUAGCUCUUAGAGCUGGAGUUACAACAGCCUAUCUUAUGCCCAUCUGUGGAAGCUAAAACAGGGAGUACUGUGGAUUUAAUUAGCUCCAUAUGCAGUUUGAUAACCAAGAUGCCUUGGCAAGAGCAAACCGAGCUUUGAAGAUUACAAGAAGAUUGGAUCAAGACUGGUGACAGGAAAGAAGAUUGAACUAGGUAGAAAUAUAAAGUUUGUCUGGGUGAUGUUUAACCCAAUGAAUGUAGUAAAAAAUUAGUAGCCUUCCUAAAAAUGGUAUAUAAGCAUAUGUAGCUCACAAUAAAUUUGGAUUCUGAUCAC